rnacentral:lncRNA from 1 species
UAUCAUCCCAUAGCCAAUAUGGUGCUGCAUUAUAUGUCCACCAUGCAUGAUAUUUCAGUGUCAUAUAUAAGCCCCAAUUCUGAAUGCCUGGCCAUCUAGGCUGCCGUCGUUGUCGUCCAUAUCUGAUUUGUGCAAAAAGAAAAUCCACCUCUGAAGACCACAAUAAUAAGGAGAAGACAAAUGGACCUUCUCGCAGUUCUGACCAGACUAUCUACAAAAUUGGUCCUCCAAUCCCUACACACCCAUUUUCACAAUUAGACCAGACCAAAAUAAGCAGGUCUAAAAAAUGCAAAAUUGCAGGACAGGUGAGGGAGGAGGACGGAUGGAGUGGUCUGAAAAAAAGAAAAGAAAAGAAAAGAAAAGGAAAGAGAUGAAUGAACAGGGAAAAUGCACUUACCGUCCUACGACAGGAGAGAUGAGGUUAGGCCCUGGAGCUCUGUCAUGGCACAACG